rnacentral:tRNA from 1 species
GACAAAUAUGCGGCAGGUCUUCUAAAUCUGUUUAGGGUUUACCCGUUUGUUU